rnacentral:lncRNA from 1 species
UUUGCAACUUCCUGAGUGUGGCUGCCAGCUGCCUCCUGCUCCUACUGUCGUGCCUUCUUGGCCAUUAUGAUGGCUAGUUUUUACAUCAAAUUGACACAAGCUGGGAAAGGAGGAAACCUCACCUAAGGACAUGCCUCUGUAUGAUCUGGCAAGCAGAAGCAGAAAAGGGUAACUGAUGUGGCGUCAUGCAACUAUAAUCUCAUACUUGAGGGAUGGAGUCAGAAGAAUUAGGAGUUCAAGGCCAGAUAAGGAUACAGAUCCAUCCAUUUAUAGAUAUGGAUAAAAAGCAGAUUGAAGUCAAGAGAUGUUCUUCAGAUACUCUCUGAUGUGCAGACUUUCAAUUCAAGCAGACACAGAAACAUUUGAAAUCCAAGAAGUAGAUGGGGUUGAAGAAGGAUUGGAGCUCCAAAAGAUGGUGACAAGUGUCACCUGCCAUCCAAGUACACAAGCCUUACUCUCAGGAUUACAAUUCUGCUUUAUAAAGUCACUGAGGUUUGGGAGGAAGCUUGGCUACUGUAGCAUAAAGUAUUAUCUCAUUAACAGAGGGAAAUAAACUCCAAAAAUCUCUGUCUACUAUAUUUCUAUGUAUUUCUGAAAUCCAGCUGGAUCCAUGAGAGACCUCAGGCACGAGACGCUUGAAGGCUCAUGCUAAGCAUCAGUGCACAUUCAUGUCAUCUAGGUGUACAGACUGCAGAGUCUCUAAGUAUCCUCUGUCCUCAUGUGCUCAGAAAACGUGAUCUAUGCCCAUGGAUGCUCAGGAAGUGAGGCCAUCCUCACCCAUAUUUAUAUACUGUACAGUGUCUCAGAUGCCAGUAUUAAAUUAAGUUAACAGUUUUUAUUUAAAAACUCAAGGAAUUUGAUAAUGUUAUAGUUUAGGUCAAUGAUUUCCUUUUAUUAUUUUUAUUUAUAUGUAUGUGCUUGUAUGAGUUUCUGUGUAGCACAUGUGUACAUGUCUCCAGAAAUUAGCAUUAAAGGCAGUUGUGGUGCUGGGAACUCAGUAUAGGUCCUGUGUAAGAGUAGUAAGUACUUUUAACCCCUGAGCCAUUUUUCUAGCCUCUGCCAGUUGUUUCUUGUUUUAACUUUGGGCAUGGAAUCAAAUAGGUUGAGCUCAUCAUGAAUAUUUUCAUUAUGCUUUACUGUGUAGAGGCUUUUUUAUAUUCGUUUUUAUAGACCCAUCUUGAUUUUACAAUAAUACUAAAAGACUUGCCUAAAGGCAAUGCUGGCAUAACUGGGAUCUUGAUAACUUCAUUUAUAUUCUAUUUAGAUAAAUGCUAUAGGAAACUUUUAGUUGAGAAAUUUGAGAUUUAAGAAUAUUUAAAUUUGAUUAUUCAAAUGGAGUUUAAUUGAGUUCUAUAAAAACCCUGCUGGCAGAAAGAAACAUUGAGAAAUUUUAAAGUUUAAAAAUGUUCAAGGGAAAUGAUACAAGGAUAUGAAGCAGCCUGGCCCUGUCCACUAAGAGUCCUAUGUUCCCUGACCCUUAAAAAGGCAUGGAAAAACUUUCACCUAGGUCCAAUGGGACACUGGCAACUUCAUCCUGAACAUCAAAACGUAAGAUUCAUCUUUAAGUGUAAUUUAGCUUACUAAAAAUAAGUGAAUGAAUUCUGUUAGCAAAUGUUGUUUUAGAUAACAUGUUUAGAAACAGAGUCCAGAAGAAUGUGAAGGGCAUAAAGAAAUAAUAUGAGUUGGUUGGCAGAAAAAUAUCAGGAACCACAAUCUGAUCCUAUGCAAAUAAAAU